AGCGGCGGACGGGUGAGUAACACGUGGACAAUCUGCCCCCCGGCCCGGGAUAGUCCAGGGAAACCUGGAUUAAUACCGGAUGAGACGGGACCCGCGAUGGCGGGAUCCGGGAAAGGCGCUGCGGCGCCGCCGGGGGAUGAGUCUGCGUCCCAUUAGCUAGACGGCGGGGUAACGGCCCACCGUGGCGACGAUGGGUAGCCGGCCUGAGAGGGUGGACGGCCACAUUGGAACUGAGACACGGUCCAGACUCCUACGGGAGGCAGCAGCUAAGAAUCUUCCGCAAUGGGCGAAAGCCUGACGGAGCGACGCCGCGUGAACGAAGAAGGCCGUGAGGUUGUAAAGUUCUUUUCGGGAGGGGGAACAACCGUGGCAGGGAAUGGCCGCGGGAUGACGUGAAUCCCGGAAUAAGCCCCGGCUAACUACGUGCCAGCAGCCGCGGUAACACGUAGGGGGCGAGCGUUGUUCGGAAUCAUUGGGCGUAAAGGGCGUGCAGGCGGUCCUGCAAGUCCGGCGUGAAAGACCCCGGCCCAACCGGGGGGACGCGCUGGAAACUGCAGGGCUUGAGUACAGGAGGGGAUGCCGGAAUUCCAGGUGUAGGGGUGAAAUCUGUAGAUAUCUGGAAGAACACCAAUGGCGAAGGCAGGCAUCUGGCCAUGUACUGACGCUGAGACGCGAAGGUGCGGGGAGCAAACAGGUUUAGAUACCCUGGUAGUCCGCACA
rnacentral:rRNA from 1 species